GGCUGCCCAUAUAAACAGGGCAGUUUUGCUGCUGGAGGCCAGGCAACAAUAUUGCCUGGUAGAGAGGACUGCUGGUGUUAUCUGGAGGACCAUGCACACAAUGAAGAAGCACCCCGGGAGGUGCCCUCCACUGCUGAGUGGCAAAUGGUCACAGCCAGAACCAGGGCUGCUCGCAGCAAAGCAGUACCAGUUCCUCCAGUCUGGCUGGAUAACAGUUACAAGGCUCUGGCGACAAGGAGAAGGAAGGAGAGGAGGAAACCUCCAGUGAGGAGGCAACUCCACUCUCUUCACGCUCCGAACAGGCCGAAGGAGCCAAGCAGACCCGGAGGAGGAAGCGUCAAGUGAUUGUCAUAGGCGACUCCAUCCUGAGAGGUACAGAGAGUGAGCGGACGUGGAAGACGACAUGAGACCUGCAUCAGAGACCAACCGGUGACUUCG